rnacentral:rRNA from 1 species
UACGUAGGGUGCAAGCGUUGUCCGGAAUUAUUGGGCGUAAAGAGCUCGGUAGGCGGUUUGUCGCGUCUGCUGUGAAAACGGCGGGCUCAACUCCGCGCCUGCAGUGGGUACGGGCAGACUAGAGUGCAGUAGGGGAGACUGGGAAUUCCUGGUGUAGCGGGUGGAAUGCGCAGAUAUCAGGAGGAACACCGGUGGCGGAAGGCGGGUCUCUUGGGCUGUAAACUGACGCUGGAGGAGCGGAAAAGCGUUGGGUAGCGAACAGGA